GACGAACGCUGGCGGCGUGCCUAAUACAUGCAAGUCGAGCGCAGGAAACUGACGGAACUCUUCGGAGGGAAGGCAGCGGAAUGAGCGGCGGACGGGUGAGUAACACGUAAGGAACCUGCCUCAAGGAUUGGGAUAACUCCGAGAAAUCGGAGCUAAUACCGGAUAGUUCAUCGGACCGCAUGGUCCGCUGAUGAAAGGCGCUCCGGCGUCACCUUGAGAUGGCCUUGCGGUGCAUUAGCUAGUUGGUGGGGUAACGGCCCACCAAGGCGACGAUGCAUAGCCGACCUGAGAGGGUGAUCGGCCACACUGGGACUGAGACACGGCCCAGACUCCUACGGGAGGCAGCAGUAGGGAAUCUUCCACAAUGGACGAAAGUCUGAUGGAGCAACGCCGCGUGAGUGAUGAAGGUUUUCGGAUCGUAAAACUCUGUUGUAAGGGAAGAGCACGUACGAGAGGGAAUGCUCGUACCUUGACGGUACCUUACGAGAAAGCCACGGCUAACUACGUGCCAGCAGCCGCGGUAA
rnacentral:rRNA from 1 species